rnacentral:rRNA from 1 species
GACGAACGCUGGCGGCGUGCUUAACACAUGCAAGUCGAACGGAAAGGCCCUGCUUUUGUGGGGUGCUCGAGUGGCGAACGGGUGAGUAACACGUGAGUAACCUGCCCUUGACUUUGGGAAUAACUUCAGGAAACUGGGGCUAAUACCGGAUAGGAGCUCCUGCUGCAUGGUGGGGGUUGGAAAGUUUCGGCGGUUGGGGAUGGACUCGCGGCUUAUCAGCUUGUUGGUGGGGUAGUGGCUUACCAAGGCUUUGACGGGUAGCCGGCCUGAGAGGGUGACCGGCCACAUUGGGACUGAGAUACGGCCCAGACUCCUACGGGAGGCAGCAGUGGGGAAUAUUGCACAAUGGGCGGAAGCCUGAUGCAGCAACGCCGCGUGCGGGAUGACGGCCUUCGGGUUGUAAACCGCUUUCGCCUGUGACGAAGCGUGAGUGACGGUAAUGGGUAAAGAAGCACCGGCUAACUACGUG